UGGGGAAUUUUGGACAAUGGGGGAAACCCUGAUCCAGCCAUUCCGCGUGAGUGAAGAAGGCCUUCGGGUUGUAAAGCUCUUUCGGCAGGAACGAAACGGUUUGGGCUAAUACCCCAGACUACUGACGGUACCUGAAGAAGAAGCACCGGCUAACUACGUGCCAGCAGCCGCGGUAAUACGUAGGGUGCGAGCGUUAAUCGGAUUUACUGGGCGUAAAGCAUGCGCAGGCGGCGGUUCAAGUCAGGUGUGAAAUCCCCGAGCUUAACUUGGGAAUUGCGCUUGAAACUAGAUCGCUAGAGUACGGCAGAGGGGGGUAGAAUUCCACGUGUAGCAGUGAAGUGCGUAGAGAUGUGGAGGAACACCGAUGGCGAAGGCAGCCCCCUGGGCCUGUACUGACGCUCAUGCAUGAAAGCGUGGGGAGCAAACAGGAUUAGAUACCCACGUAGUCCCUGAGCGGGCUGGCAAGGCGCAU
rnacentral:rRNA from 1 species